CAAUUGAUAGUCAUAACGGCAGUAGAAGCCAUGAGGUCACCCUUUGCUCUGGGUGAGCACUGUGUGAAUUCAGUUUCAUUGUAGAAAAUUGAUGUGGCAAGGAUUUUAUUUGCCGUUUACAAUCACGAUCAAGAGGAACGGCCUCGUGGUUCAGCAGCAUUGAUGGAUGCCCCCUUUGGAUUGUUUGGACUCUGGACACGGGAAAGAGGCCUUCUGGGAAUCAGCCGGUGUUAUCGCAUUUCAGGAGCAGGAACAAGGGGAGAGGCAGAAUUUCACGGAGACCUCUUCGGUCACAUCCUCUGGUCACAUCUGGCUGUGGUGGAGGAGGGCUAUAGGCUAUGUGUUCCCUUCCCAGUACUAGGAAUGGGCUUCAGGUGCUUGCACACACAGGUGAGUCCUAGGAGGAGAGGCCAUGCCCCUGAGAGGAGACAGAAGUCGGGUAAAACUGCCGCAGUGGGGCAAACCGGCUUGAUUGAGUCUGGCUGGGUGGGGCUGGCGAGAUGCAGUGAUGCAGAGAGGCCACGAGAGGGCGCCCAAGCACCGUCAUUCGGCCACUGAAGGCUGAGCAGCCGCUGCAGGGCCUGAGGCUGACCUGCCUGCCAGUGUUGACAGGACCCUGACAAGACUCGGAUGACCCCAAAGUUGAGCACGCCUCGGCCUGCCGGGGUCUGGGCCAAUCUCUUGAUCAAAUCCUGAUCUUCAUCUAAGCUGGUGCUGUGGAGUUGCCUGCUCCCUGCCGGCAUGCAAUGAAGACAUUUUAGGCAGAAGAGACCUCACUGGGAAUAGUCUAAGGACAUUGUCCGGGCAGAGGCCCAGUAGCUGCUGCAGGAGAUGCAAGAAGCCAAGGGAGCAGCCUCCUGUUGGAGGAAGGGCAUGAUGGCAACCACAAGAGGACGUGGGACUCGUACCUGCAAUCCAGAGGACUCACGAUGAACACAGGAAGGAAAUAGAAAAUGCCAUGAACAAGAAAAUUCCACAAUGAGACUAAGACACAAGACCCUGGUAACGACAGCAAAAGUGACGACUUAAACUGACCACUCAGAAGAGGUUCAUGUGUUGAAGAACCAUCCUACACCAGUGUGACUUUACAGUUAAAACCUACAGCUAAAAACACAGGGCCUUGGGGGUAAAGUGCUUGCCUAACGAGUGUGGAGACCCCAGUUCAAAUCCUCAGAGCCUGCACAGAGCUGGGUGUGGUAACCUGUGUCUGUAACCCCAAUGCUCCUAAGGUAAUGACAGGAUCCCCGGAAACGUGCACCCCGACUAUCCUGGUGUGCGCCGUUGUGAAGGCGGAGGUGAGGACUGACACCUGAGGGUGUCCUUUGACCUCCACGUGUGCCGGUGUCAUGUGUGUGUCCGCCUCUGAGGCUUUUGGAGGUACGGAAGGACCUUGACCCACUUUCCCUGCACUCCAGAUGCCUCCUGGUCCGGUAGCGCACACAGUGAUGUAACGGACACUAGGGGGCGUCUAAGCUCCACGCUCCGGGGACCCGGCAGGUGCACAGGCUGCUGAGGCCCCACAAGUUCACCUGCCGGUGUGACCCGAUGGCCCUGACAAGCCCUACAGCUGUGCCUGGCCACAGUGGUACCCUGGUUGGCAAGAGGUCUCUCACCAGCCCUUAGAAACCCAACAAGUCCUGGAGAUACAAUGCAGGAUUUGCCAGCCCAAGUCACAAGACAUUCUCCAGGGACAUUAUGCCAACAUGGAGUUGCUCAAGGCCAACAGUGUGUCAUCAAGGCCAAGAAGCAUGGACAUGGGGACAGGGAAUUCAGGCUGCAGCUGUCCAUCCAUGGCUAUGAGCGUCCUAGGUUCUGGCAGUGCCUCAUGGAUCACUUGGCAGGUGAAUUUUUUAUUCUGUGCCCAGUGUGCCUUCGUGACCUCUAGGCGGCUGAAGAUGAAGAAGCCUUGACCAGGGCCGUUGGACUUCAGAGGUGCUGUGGUUCUGUGCUGUGUGUUUGGGAUCAGCAUCUCAUCUUGCAGCCACUGCACUGAGAUAUCCUCAGGGAAGAAGUUCUGGAUCAGGCAGGACUCAGAGGCCAUGGGCCCAAACCCGUGCACAAGUGUCUGGGUGAGUUGCUAGGCCUUGAUCUCAGCUCCAGGAGGAUAACUAGUGUCCUGAGACACCCUACAUUAGAGGGUGGCCCAGGUAUUGAACCAUUUCCUCUCCUUAUCAGCUCCUGAGGAACUUGGAGGACCAUCAUCUCCCCUCUAAAGCAUAAGGAUGCACUCAUGAUCUGCCUGACUCCCAGGAUCACAUGUGUGGUGGUGGACAUUAGCCAGGAUGACUCCAAGGUCCAUUUCAGUUGUUAGUUCAUGGAUGAAGUGGAGGUGCAUACAACUCAGACACAGCUCCCAAAGGAGUGGUACAGCAGCACCUUCUGUGUGGUUAGUGUCCUCCUCAUUUUGCAUCAGGACUGGCUGGAGGGUAAGGAGUUCAAGUACAAGACCAACAACACGGCCCUCCCAGCUCCCAUUGAGAAAACCAUUUCUAAAUCCAAAGAUGGCAACAGGUGGGAUGGACUGCGUGGAGUGUGAUGGACAUUCAGGCAGAGCUGGAGUAGACUGCCCUCCACCUUGACAGUGACAUACGUGUUGUUACCUGCCCUCACAGGGGGCUGGCCUUGUGCUUAUACUAUGCUUCCACCCAAUAGGAACAGAUAACUAAGAACAGGGUCAUCUGAUACACACGGGGCAUGUAUGACUUCCAGCUGCGGUAUAGCAAUGGGAAAUGAGAUCAGAAACUAUCAGAGCACCUAUCUCAUCCUGGGCUCCAACGAGCCCUUACUCCUCUACAGCAAGCUCCUGUGCAUAAGAACAGCAGCAGAAGGGAACUAUUUACUCUGUGCCAUAACAGGCUCUACACAACUACCACACAGGGAAGACCCUCUCUUAUUUCCCGGAUAAAUGAAUGCAUCGCUCACCCUUGGGUCCUAGGGGACAUUGACAUCUGCCAUUACCUAGAGCAUAUAGGUCUACCUGGCCAUGUUGAAGUCAUCUCUCACAGGGGAGGGGGAUUGAUCUUAACUAAUUGCUUCUUCGGCCCUCUCUCCACCUGGCUGCUGCUCAGCACUGUGAUGGGAUCCUCUUUAGCAAUCCCCCAAGAGAAGGAACACACUAACCCCGCUACUGCCAGCCUGUCCUUGUUCCUCUUCUGAUCAACUUUUCUUUUUAUUCUGUGAUCUUGCAGAGGCAUGUCUAGCCAUGUAUAUACAGACUGACCUUUAAACUUAACAUACCCAACACAGUCAGCUCUGCCUGACUGCUGGGGCUAGGCUGUCUGCCUGGUGGGACAUUGCCCAUCCAGGGGAUACUCAGUCUUUGGCCUCUAAGGGAUUGAGGUUGCCUCAAGGGAGGAACUGUCCAGAUACAUGGAUGUGGGAGUUAGACCCAUUAGAACCUGCCUGGUGACUAUCACUCAUCCCACAUGGCACUUGCACAGAUGUGUACAGUAAUGUGCAUGGGCACAUACACAAGCCUUGCACACUCAUGAACACCCUGUACAGUGUUCAGAUCCAUCAAGGUAUCAGGCCCUCUCUCAGGCUCCUUUUCAGCAUUCACAUAUGGGUUAGCUGAGACAGAUGCAACCGCAUCCUCACCAGCCCCACAACACACGGUCUCUCAUGUCAAUCUGUCCCUGUACCGUCAGGCCCACGCUUCCAUUUCACAGAGAUGACAGUCUGGUGGAAGCCAUGCUGUCACCCCUGGGAAUGGUGCAUAAAUGUUUUGCAAAUGGAGCUCCUUAUGUAAGGCCACUUCCACUGGUAGGGACCGGUGGAAGCCGUGUUGCAGGCCCAUGCACUGAUCCUAGAGCUCAUGGCCUCCAGGCCUCUCUCACUUUCACUGUGCUUAUUCUUACGGUAACUCUUAGUGUUGCUUUGCCAGUUGGGAUUGUGGCUGAGUUUACUGGGAACAAAAGCUGAUAAUUUCUCUAAAAGUUUCUACAAAGAAAUUAAGCCUCUCUGCAGUCUAUCACAGAAACCAGUUUCUCCGGUCGCCCCUGACUGCCUGUGCGGUCAUUCUGAGUAAGCACGAGGAACUCACUAAGGUUAAUGAUUCUUGCUUACAUA